rnacentral:tRNA from 1 species
GUUUCCGUAGUGUAGUGGUUAUCACAUUCGCCUCACACGCGAAAGGUCCCCAGUUCAAAACUGGGCGGAAACA